rnacentral:rRNA from 1 species
UACGAAGGGGGCUAGCGUUGCUCGGAAUACUGGGCGUAAAGCGCACGUAGGCGGCUUGUUAAGUCAGGGGUGAAAUCCUGGAGCUCAACUCCAGAACUGCCUUUGAUACUGGCGAGCUUGAGUUCGGGAGAGGUGAGUGGAACUGCGAGUGUAGAGGUGAAAUUCGUAGAUAUUCGCAAGAACACCAGUGGCGAAGGCGGCUCACUGGCCCGAUACUGACGCUGAGGUGCGAAAGCGUGGGGAGCAAACAG